rnacentral:rRNA from 1 species
CCUACGGGUGGCAGCAGUGGGGAAUAUUGGACAAUGGGGGGAACCCUGAUCCAGCCAUGCCGCGUGUGUGAAGAAGGCCCUCGGGUUGUAAAGCACUUUCAGUGAGGAAGAACGCCUGGUGGUUAAUACCCAUCAGGAAAGACAUCACUCACAGAAGAAGCACCGGCUAACUCCGUGCCAGCAGCCGCGGUAAUACGGAGGGUGCGAGCGUUAAUCGGAAUUACUGGGCGUAAAGCGCGCGUAGGUGGCUUGAUAAGCCGGUUGUGAAAGCCCCGGGCUCAACCUGGGAACGGCAUCCGGAACUGUCAAGCUAGAGUGCAGGAGAGGAAGGUAGAAUUCCCGGUGAAGCGGUGAAAUGCGUAGAGAUCGGGAGGAAUACCAGUGGCGAAGGUGGCCUUCUGGACUGACACUGACACUGAGGUGCGAAAGCGUGGGUAGCAAACAGGAUUAGAUACCCCUGUAGUC